UUUGGUGGCGAUGGCGAAGAGGUCACACCCGUUCCCAUGCCGAACACGGAAGUUAAGCUCUUCAGCGCCGAUGGUAGU
rnacentral:rRNA from 1 species